rnacentral:rRNA from 1 species
UUUAUGGAGAGUUUGAUCCUGGCUCAGGAUGAACGCUGGCGGCGUGCCUAAUACAUGCAAGUCGAGCGAACGGACGAGAAGCUUGCUUCUCUGAUGUUAGCGGCGGACGGGUGAGUAACACGUGGAUAACCUACCUAUAAGACUGGGAUAACUUCGGGAAACCGGAGCUAAUACCGGAUAAUAUUUUGAACCGCAUGGUUCAAAAGUGAAAGACGGUCUUGCUGUCACUUAUAGAUGGAUCCGCGCUGCAUUAGCUAGUUGGUAAGGUAACGGCUUACCAAGGCAACGAUGCAUAGCCGACCUGAGAGGGUGAUCGGCCACACUGGAACUGAGACACGGUCCAGACUCCUACGGGAGGCAGCAGUAGGGAAUCUUCCGCAAUGGGCGAAAGCCUGACGGAGCAACGCCGCGUGAGUGAUGAAGGUCUUCGGAUCGUAAAACUCUGUUAUUAGGGAAGAACAUAUGUGUAAGUAACUGUGCACAUCUUGACGGUACCUAAUCAGAAAGCCACGGCUAACUACGUGCCAGCAGCCGCGGUAAUACGUAGGUGGCAAGCGUUAUCCGGAAUUAUUGGGCGUAAAGCGCGCGUAGGCGGUUUUUUAAGUCUGAUGUGAAAGCCCACGGCUCAACCGUGGAGGGUCAUUGGAAACUGGAAAACUUGAGUGCAGAAGAG